rnacentral:rRNA from 1 species
GAACGAACGCUGGCGGCAGGCUUAACACAUGCAAGUCGAGCGCAUCCUUCGGGGUGAGCGGCAGACGGGUGAGUAACGCGUGGGAAUCUACCUUUUGCUACGGAAUAGCUCCGGGAAACUGGAAUUAAUACCGUAUGUGCUCUUUGGCGGUGGACGCUGGAGAGGAAAGAUUUAUCGGCAAAGGAUGAGCCCGCGUUGGAUUAGCUAGUUGGUGGGGUAAAGGCCUACCAAGGCGACGAUCCAUAGCUGGUCUGAGAGGAUGAUCAGCCACAUUGGGACUGAGACACGGCCCAAACUCCUACGGGAGGCAGCAGUGGGGAAUAUUGGACAAUGGGCGCAAGCCUGAUCCAGCCAUGCCGCGUGUGUGAUGAAGGCCUUAGGGUUGUAAAGCACUUUCACCGGUGAAGAUAAUGACGGUA